GACGAACGCUGGCGGCGUGCUUAACACAUGCGAGUCGAACGGAAAGGCCCUGCUUUUGUGGGGUGCUCGAGUGGCGAACGGGUGAGUAACACGUGAGUAACCUGCCCUUGACUUUGGGAUAACUUCAGGAAACUGGGGCUAAUACCGGAUAGGAGCUCCUGCUGCAUGGUGGGGGUUGGAAAGUUUCGGCGGUUGGGGAUGGACUCGCGGCUUAUCAGCUUGUUGGUGGGGUAGUGGCUUACCAAGGCUUUGACGGGUAGCCGGCCUGAGAGGGUGACCGGCCACAUUGGGACUGAGAGACGGCGCAGACGCCUACGGGAGGCAGCAGGGGGGAAUAUUGCACAAUGGGCGGAAGCCUGAUGCAGCAACGCCGCGUGCGGGAUGACGGCCUUCGGGUUGUAAACCGCUGUCGCCUGUGACGAAGCGUGAGUGACGGUAAUGGGUAAAGAAGCACCGGCUAACUACGUG
rnacentral:rRNA from 1 species